rnacentral:tRNA from 1 species
GCUCUGGUGGCACAGUGUUUAAAGCACUCAGCUGUUAACUGACAGGUUGGUGGUUCAAACCCACCAGCU